rnacentral:rRNA from 1 species
AAUGCCAGUCGAGCGGUAGAGAGAAGCUUGCUUCUCUUGAGAGCGGCGGACGGGUGAGCCUUCCUGGGAAUCUGCCUGGUAGUGGGGGAUAACGUUCGGAAACGGACGCUAAUACCGCAUACGUCCUACGGGAGAAAGCAGGGGAUCUUCGGACCUUGCGCUAUCAGAUGAGCCCAGGUCGGAUUAGCUAGUAGGUGGGGUAAAGGCUCACCUAGGCAACGAUCCGUAACUGGUCUGAGAGGAUGAUCAGUCACACUGGAACUGAGACACGGUCCAGACUCCUACGGGAGGCAGCAGUGGGGAAUAUUGGACAAUGGGCGAAAGCCUGAUCCAGCCAUGCCGCGUGUGUGAAGAAGGUCUUCGGAUUGUAAAGCACUUUAAGUUGGGAGGAAGGGUUGUAGUUUAAUACGCUGCAAUCUUGACGUUACCGACAGAAUAAGCACCGGCUAACUCUGUGCCAGCAGCCGCGGUAAUACAGAGGGUGCAAGCGUUAAUCGGAAUUACUGGGCGUAAAGCGCGCGUAGGUGGCUAAGUAAGAUGGGUGUGAAAUCCCCGGGCUCAACCUGGGAACUGCAUCCAUAACUGCUUAGCUAGAGUACGGUAGAGGGUAGUGGAAUUUCCUGUGUAGCGGU